CCAGACUCCUACGGGAGGCAGCAGUGGGGAAUCUUGCGCAAUGGGCGAAAGCCUGACGCAGCAACGCCGCGUGGGGGAUGAAGGCUCUCGGGUUGUAAACCCCUUUCAGCAGGGACGAAUCAAGACGGUACCUGCAGAAGAAGCCCCGGCUAACUACGUGCCAGCAGCCGCGGUAACACGUAGGGGGCAAGCGUUGUCCGGAUUUAUUGGGCGUAAAGAGCUCGUAGGCGGCUGAGUAAGUCGGGUGUUAAAUCCCCAGGCUCAACCUGGGACACCACCCGAUACUGCUCUGGCUAGAGUCCGGUAGGGGAGCGUGGAAUUCCUGGUGUAGCGGUGAAAUGCGCAGAUAUCAGGAGGAACACCAGCGGCGAAGGCGGCGCUCUGGGCCGGUACUGACACUGAGGAGCGAAAGCGUGGGGAUCAAACAGGAUUAGAUACCCUGGUAGUCCACGCCGUAAACGAUGAUCACUCGCUGUUUGCGAUAUACAGCAAGCGGCUGAGCGAAAGCAUUAAGUGAUCCACCUGGGGAGUACGAUCGCAAGGUUGAAACUCAAAGGAAUUGACGGGGGCCCGCACAAGCGGUGGAGCAUGUGGUUUAAUUCGAUGCAACGCGAAGAACCUUACCUGGCCUUGACAUCCGGGGAAUCGUCAGAGAUGACGAGUGCCGCAAGGAGCCCCGAGACAGGUGCUGCAUGGCUGUCGUCAGCUCGUGUCGUGAGAUGUUGGGUUAAGUCCCGCAACGAGCGCAACCCUUGUCCUAUGUUGCCAGCACGUAAUGGUGGGGACUCGUAGGAGACUGCCGGGGUCAACUCGGAGGAAGGUGGGGAUGACGUCAAGUCAUCAU
rnacentral:rRNA from 1 species